GACGAACGCUGGCGGCGUGCUUAACACAUGCAAGUUGAACGGAAAGGCCCUGCUUUUGUGGCGUGCUCGAGUGCCGAACGGGUGAGUAUCACGUGUGUAACCUGUCCUUGACUGUGGGGGACCUCCUGGAAACACGGGUGCUAACCGGGCAGAAGCUCCUGCUGCACGGGGGGGGAGGGUAAAAUACGCCGGUUGGGCAUGCAAUCGCGGCCUAUCGGCUUGUUGGUGGGGUGGUGGCGUACCAGGGCAUUGACGGGUGGCCGGCCUGAGAGGGUGACCGGCCACAUUGGGCCUGAGAUGCGGCCCAGACUCCUACGGGAGGCAGCGGUGGGGAAUAGUGCACAAUGGGCGGAAUCCGUAUGCAGCAACUCCGCGUGCGAGAUGACGGCCUUCGGGUUGUAACCCGCUUUCGCCUGUGACGAAGCGUGAGUGACGGUAAUGAGUCAGGAAGCACCGGCUAACUACGUG
rnacentral:rRNA from 1 species